rnacentral:lncRNA from 10 species
AAUCUCUGGGCGUUUGCGUUCUGGUCUUGCAGCGGUGGCCGCGCGCUCCCUGAGGAGUCGAACUGGAGGAGGGGACAGUUUAGGAGUGCGAGAGUCUAAAGACGCUGCCAGAGCACGUCUGAUUUGAUGAGGAUGGAAGAUUGGUAAUGACUCAGAAGCUGGGAAAACAGAUCUUGGUAGAAACUCCAGAAGUCCUCUAUCAAGAAUUGAGCCAUGAGACACUGCCUUGCAGGAAGCAAAAGGGAAAAUGUGAGCCCGAUAUACAUUUACCAGAAUAUCCUAAAAUAUGUUAAACCCAGUAGAAACGAUCAUGUAAGCUCUGUGAUCAAAAGACAUGACUAUAUAUAAAGCCCCGUGUCUCUCAAUCUGUUCAUACACCACUGUCGACACUCAUAACCCUGCCUAGCUGGGAACACAACAGUCAUGUGGAUCCAGGAACCAAGGGCUGGUUAAAAAUGGUCCUAUUGCAUAAAACAAGGUCAAAAGACUGUUUGCACUGCACCGUAAUGACUACUGUAAAACAAAC